GAGUUUGAUCAUGGCUCAGAUUGAACGCUGGCGGAAUGCUUUACACAUGCAAGUCGAACGGCAGCAUAGAGAGCUUGCUCUCUGAUGGCGAGUGGCGAACGGGUGAGUAAUAUAUCGGAACGUACCUAGUAAUGGGGAACAACCAGCCGAAAGGUUGGCUAAUACCGCAUACGACCUACGGGUGAAAGCAGGGGAUCUUCGGACCUUGCGUUAUUAGAGCGGCCGAUAGCUGGUUAGGUAGUUGGUGGGGUAAAGGCCUACCAAGGCGACGAUCUCUAGCUGGUCUGAGAGGAUGAUCAGCCACACUGGGGCUGAGACACGGCCCAGACUCCUACGGGAGGCAGCAGUGGGGAAUUUUGGACAAUGGGGGAAACCCUGAUCCAGCCAUUCCGCGUGAGUGAAGAAGGCCUUCGGGUUGUAAAGCUCUUUCGCAAGGGAGGAAGGUAUCAAGUUUAAUAAACUUGGUAAUUGACGUUACCCACAGAAGAAGGACCGGCUAACUCCGUGCCAGCAGCCGCGGUAAUACGGAGGGUCCGAGCGUUAAUCGGAAUGACUGGGCGUAAAGCGCGCGUAGGUGGUUAUUUAAGUUGGAUGUGAAAGCCCAGGGCUCAACCUUGGAACUGCAUCCAAAACUGGGUAACUAGAGUACAGUAGAGGGGGGUAGAAUUUCAGGUGUAGCGGUGAAAUGCGUAGAGAUCUGAAGGAAUACCAGUGGCGAAGGCGGCCCCCUGGACUGAUACUGACACUGAGGUGCGAAAGCGUGGGUAGCGAACAGGAUUAGAUACCCUGGUAGUCCACGCCGUAAACGAUGUCUACUAGCCGUUGGGAGGCUUGACCUCUUAGUGGCGCAGCUAACGCGAUAAGUAGACCGCCUGGGGAGUACGGCCGCAAGGUUAAAACUCAAAUGAAUUGACGGGGGCCCGCACAAGCGGUGGAGCAUGUGGUUUAAUUCGACGCAACGCGAAGAACCUUACCAAGUCUUGACAUCCUGCGAACUUUCUAGAGAUAGAUUGGUGCCUUCGGGAACGCAGUGACAGGUGCUGCAUGGCUGUCGUCAGCUCGUGUCGUGAGAUGUUGGGUUAAGUCCCGUAACGAGCGCAACCCUUGUCCUUAUUUGCCAGCACGUAAUGGUGGGAACUUUAAGGAGACUGCCGGUGACAAACCGGAGGAAGGUGGGGACGACGUCAAGUCAUCAUGGCCCUUACGACUUGGGCUACACACGUGCUACAAUGGCCAGUACAAAGGGUUGCGACCCCGCGAGGGUGAGCUAACCCCAGAAAACUUUUCGUAGUCCGGAUCGGAGUCUGCAACUCGACUCCGUGAAGUCGGAAUCGCUAGUAAUCGCGAAUCAGCAUGUCGCGGUGAAUACGUUCCCGGGCCUUGUACACACCGCCCGUCACACCAUGGGAGUGGGUUGCAAAAGAAGUGGCUAGUCUAACCUUCGGGGGGACGGUCACCACUUUGUGGCUCAUGACUGGGAUGAAGUCGUAACAAGGUAGCC
rnacentral:rRNA from 1 species